GUGGCACGAGUCGCGGGGCAUCGUGUAUAACGAAGCGACGCGGGCCGUGUCAAAAGUUAAGUGAAGUAAAAUUGAAACAUUUUAUGUGUAUUUAAAAAAAUUAAAAAUUAAAUAUUUCAUAUUUUCUAAAAAUUUUAAGUUUAUAGUAAGGAUCUCAGAAGAAAAUUCGAUUUUUUGGAUCAUUAAUAAAAAUUGAGAAGAAAUAAAUACGAAAUGAUGAUUAUACUAUCUUGCAGUAGCUUGUAAGUAUGAAAAUGAAAGAAUGAACAUACAAAAACUAUAUUUAAUAAACUUUUAUAAGAAAUUUUACUAUCUUGUAAAUGCCUGUAAUUCAGUAUGGUAAGCUGAGUUUUGCACUUAUUCAAUGUUAAUUUAGAAGAUUUUCAACUGUCUUAUUUACGAAAAAGUUAUGGUCAGCAAUUAUUAAAAUUGUAUAUAUGUCAGUAAAUAUUACAACAUCUUAUGAAACCGGUUUACAUUUGUAAUUGAAAAUCAAACUCGCUUAGAAAAUAUUUUAUUAUUACACGCUAACCACAUCUUUUUAUUGAUAUUUAAAAUUAGAUCUUGAAAAAAAAUAUUAAUUUAACUAAGUUUUAGAGGUGUACUUGCAAUGAGAAAAGAAGUAUGGUUGGUAGUUACAGGUGGUUUUUACAAUUUAUUAAUAAGAAACUUUUAUUGAAUAUGGUAUUUUAAAAAUAAAUAAGGAUAUUUUUAAUUAAAACCUUCAACAUGUUUCAUAUUUUUUAGUAGUUCAAAAAGUAAUCAGGGGUAGAGUUUGUAUGGGGACCGUGGGAGUUAUAUCUUCAUAAGUACAACAACACAACAAACUAUAUUUUUGGGAAAGGAAAAUAAGUAUUUCAUUUCAAGAUAGAGUGUACAGACGAAACUAUAAGAGGGAACUACUAAGCUUCUCAAGCACCGAAAAAAAUUAAACAUCCUCCAUCGGUGACAAUAGUGACAAUUCGAUAUUUAUAUUUAUAUGAUUUUUGCAUCGUUCUAAAUAAAUAACUUCGAGUUAUAAGUUUCGUAGUAUAAGUUAAAACAGCUUUUUUUAGAAAGCCUCGUAUAAAAUUAGUGUAGUGGCGGUGAAAUGAGAAAUAAUUAAGAGAAUAAACCCUUCUUAGACAUUCCUUUUUUGACAUUUUUGUACAAUUUUAAAAAGUUAUUAAGCAUAAUUAAUAUGAAAAAAUUAUUAAUCCUAAAAUUUUGGUAAAUUAAAUUAUUUUAAAGUACAUUAAAUAUUUCAAAUAUGCUUAAAAAGAAGAAAACCAUCUAAUAAUUUAUGAUAACAUAGUGAUAUAAGUAGCACGUCUUGUUUUAGUGUGUAGUUACCGCGGUUUAAUUUCGUUACUCUGGCUUAUCUAAGUUUUCUUAUACUCUACAACACAAACAAUAGCUUUUAGGGAAAAUGUCAAAAAAAAAAAAAGGAUAUGAAUAACCCCUAUAGAAUUGUCUACUUUAUUAAUGAAAUUGUAAACUCCGACAACAAUAACCCAUCCCAAAUUUUACAUUUGUAAAUUUCAAAAAACGGAUAAAUUACAUUUAUCAAACUCUGACAGAUAUGAAAUUUUCAAAAAAUUCUUUUUUCCAUUAACUCAAAGUGAUGUAUGUAGAAGAAUUUAAAAGUUUUGAUUAAAUAUUAACAUUCUAUUUGAAGUAAAAAUAGUUAAUUGAUAAUUUUCAAAUAUUUAAAUUAGAAGAUACAUGAAUUGUAAUAUUACUAUUAUUAUACAUAGUAUUAAGUGAAUAAUAAAGUGAAAAUAUAUAAAUUUUAUUUAUUUUUUACGUUUUAAUAUUGAUUAAAUAAAUUUUACAUUGUUUGUAUAAAUUUCAAUUGUAUUGGGUGCUUUUUCAAAUAAAUAUAGAU